CCUACGGGAGGCAGCAGUGAGGAAUAUUGGUCAAUGGGCGAGAGCCUGAACCAGCCAAGUCGCGUGAGGGAGUACUGCCCUAUGGGUUGUAAACCUCUUUUGUCGGGGAGCAAAAGCCGGACGUGUUCGGCUGUGAGAGUACCCGAAGUAAAAGCAACGGCUAACUCCGUGCCAGCAGCCGCGGUAAUACGGGGGAUGCGAGCGUUAUCCGGUUUUAUUGGGGUAAAGGGCUGCUCAGGGGGAUUUUCAAGUAAGCGGUCAAAUCGUGGGGCUAAACCCCAUUCAGCCGUUGAAACUGGGGAUCUAGAGUGUGCGAGAGGUAGGCGGAAUGCGUAGUGUAGCGGUGAAAUGCAUAGAUAUCACGCAGAACCCCGAUUGCGAAGGCAGCAUACCGGUGCACAACUGACGGUCAGGCGCGAAAGCGUGGGUAUCGAACAGGAUUAGAUACCCGAGUAGUC
rnacentral:rRNA from 1 species